ensembl:lncRNA
CAGCCUUCUUGCGGCUGGAGGCUCAGUGGGGUUGACCCAGAGCGCCUGGAAAGAAACUGGGCAAUGCAGGAUCCCGCUUGCGAAGGCUCAUCAUCAAUCAGUGAUAAAGCACGUGCACCCAGCUUUUGGCUGUGGCUUUAUGGAGUGCCUUUGCUCUUUCCAGGCAAGCUUGUUCUUGAGGUGCUGCUCAUAGGAAUUUCACAACUGUGUAGUGGCUCACCAGUUGCCCUAGAGCCACUUUAUUCCAGCAGCUUAAACUCCAAGAGGUCCCUCCACAUACAUUUAAUCAGUUCCUUUGGGUCUCUCCUGGAUUAUUUUCUGUUCUAUUACCCUCUACUGUUCGUAUGUUUUUCUCUCUUUUUACUUCUUAAUUACUUAGUCCAUAUAUAAAACAAAUACUUCAUGUCUGGGUAUAGAUGUAUUUUGGAACUCAAGCUAUAUACCUUUAACUACUUUAUUUGAAAAUCUCUUGGCUCCAGUAGAUCCAUGGUACUGCAGCUCAGCACUUUGCUAGCUCGUUGAGCUGCUGUCAGUCUGCUCAUUACUUAUCUGCCUGUUAAUGAGCCAUGCUGAAAUUUCAGUUGGUGCAGCUACAAUAAUCUGGCUCCAGACUCCUCAGGCCCCCAAGGCACACUUUAGACAUCUCAAGCCAAGCAGUUUAAUGUGGCCUGAUUCUGCAAACAGAAGAUUAGCUGCAUGCUUCUUUUGAAGUGAAUAAGCCACAGUAGAACCAGACAGAUAAAAUUAAUUGUUUUUCAAGGUAAAGAUAUAUCUAAUUAAAUGUUUACAGAGGUUGCAUUUGUGCAGUUCUGGGCAGAGUGCGGUGGUGGCUCCUACAGGUGAGCACUGAAACAGCAAAGUGCUGCAGUGCAAAUCCCUGCAUGAUGCGACCGUGCUGCUGGACUUUUGCAUAUUCCUGAGGGACUGGGGGAAAAGGGGGUGCUGUGGUAUAGCUCACAUUUGUCUGCAGGCUUUCCUUUUUCUUGCCCUGCCCAGCUCUGUGUGAAGCAGGCUGUUCUCUGCUGGUUUUGGUUUAACACAGCCCCUGUUCUUUGAACGUGUCCCUUCCCUCUGACUCACUGCGAACUGGAUGAUGGUGAACAUCAUUAGAACAAAACUGCUGUGAAGUGAGCCUCUCUCCUAGCAGUCCAUACAGAACUUCUUAGGCUGCCUGUCUUGGUCUCUUGCC